GUAGGUGGCAAGCGUUGUCCGGGAAUUAUUGGGGCGUAAAGCGCGCGCAGGCGGUUCUUUAAGUCUGAUGUGAAAGCCCACGGGCUCAACCGUGGAGGGUCAUUGGAAGCUGGAGAACUUGAGUACAGAAGAGGAAAGCGGAAUUCCACGUGUAGCGGUGAAAUGCGUAGAGAUGUGGAGGAACACCAGUGGCGAAGGCGGCUUUCUGGUCUGUAACUGACGCUGAGGCGCGAAAGCGUGGGGAGCAAACAGGAUUAGAUACCCUGGUAGUCCACGCCGUAAACGAUGAGUGCUAAGUGUUAGGGGGUUUCCGCCCCUUAGUGCUGCAGCUAACGCAUUAAGCACUCCGCCUGGGGAGUACGGCCGCAAAGGCUGA
rnacentral:rRNA from 1 species